AUCAAAGUAGUAGUAACGUAAACGUAUCGUGUCUACUAUACUAUGACGCAGUAAUACGUUAGUAGGCAUCACGAAGCACUUUCGUCGUUGUGUAGUUAGUACGAUACAAUUACGAGAGUGACGUCAUCCUAACGUAAGUAGGGAUGUCCCCACGAAUGAGCUCGCUGAGCUUUCUAAACCAAUGAUUCGUUCGGAAACAUGUUGAAGUGUUCUAAUUAACUGAAAUUAUUGAAAUAUAUUAUGAUAUUCGAGUGAAAUCUUAGAGAAAACAAUCAAGAAACAAAAUUAUGUUCCAUAUAUUUGUAGUAAGGUAAGUAAAUUUAAUUUUUAAUGUUGGUUAAUAAAAAUUUUAAGAUUCUUUUUUCCAUCUGUUUUGAUUUCUGAACGAUCUUCCAGACUGUCAAACACAGUUUGCUUUGGUAAGCAAAUUCAAAAGUUUUAGGAACUCUUUGAGUAUAAGUAUUCUUUGUUUAAGAAGCUUCAUUAAAGUGUAUUUUAAUUUUGAGCAUGAGGACAAGUCAUUUGCAGUACGUAGCAAUGGUAGAGUUUAUGGAAAAGUACGUUGAAUGAAAUACAAAUAUUUGUGAAUGUGGUUUAAGUGUGGGCUGAAAUGGUGUGAUAUAUUUUGGAUCUUAUUUUCUAGAUAUGGUGACUUAUCUAAACCUUCCGGAGGUCCAAGAGGACGCCAUUUCAUACAAAUGAAAUGGAAGGAAUUAGCGGAAAAAUUAAACAGUGACGGAACAGGCGACUCUCGAUCGGAGGAGAAAUGGCGCAAGGUGUGGAGUGAUUUAAAAAAUAACACCAAAAGAAAGCUGGCAAAGAUAAAUAGAGCUGCAAGCGGUACUGGUGGUGGACCUGCACUUCGAUUAUCGUUGACUGACCUUGAAAACAGGGUCAUGCAAAUCAUUGGAGUGGAGGCAGCUACUGGCAUGACGGUGGUGGAAGCUGGCUUUCAGCAGAAUGAAGAUGAUGAAAAAACGCCCAACACCCAGCCAGAAGAAAUAAUUAUACCUGGGUAUAUAGAAGAUAACCAAUUCACCCUGGAUACAAUAGAUACAGGUUUGUUCUUAUAGUAAUUGUACAAUUUAUCAGACAAA